rnacentral:rRNA from 1 species
AACGAACGCUGGCGGCAUGCCUAACACAUGCCAGUCGAACGAGACCUUCGGGUCUAGUGGCGCACGGGUGCGUAACGCGUGGGAACCUGCCUUUAGGUUCGGAAUAACUCAGAGAAAUUUGAGCUAAUACCGGAUGAUGUCUUCGGACCAAAGAUUUAUCGCCUUUAGAUGGGCCCGCGUUGGAUUAGCUAGUUGGUGGGGUAAAGGCCUACCAAGGCGACGAUCCAUAGCUGGUCUGAGAGGAUGAUCAGCCACACUGGGACUGAGACACGGCCCAGACUCCUACGGGAGGCAGCAGUGGGGAAUAUUGGACAAUGGGCGAAAGCCUGAUCCAGCAAUGCCGCGUGAGUGAUGAAGGCCUUAGGGUUGUAAAGCUCCUUUACCCGAGAUGAUAAUGACAGUAUCGGGAGAAUAAGCUCCGGCUAACUCCGUG